GAGAGUUUGUUUGGGUAAGGGGUUGGGGAAGGGCAAUAAAAGAGUGGGGGGAAAAAAAAAAGAAAAUAAGAAGGGUGUGCACGGUCCGUCUAUGGCCCAGCGGGCUCGCACUUACGCCUCAUUGAGGCCCCCCGCAUGUCUAGUCCCCAGUUUUGCUAUCCAGAGGCGUUCCGCCCGCCUCCGUUGGGCGACACUCCAUUUGGAGUUGCUCUGGACCACACACGUCCGGACAGAAGCCCACCCGUGCCGGAUGAAGUGCUGCACAAGGUCGGUGGUGGUGUUCUUCUGCCGGACGAUAUUAUGCUUAUGCUGGUGAAAAUGGGUGGCGAUGGUGUUGCCCGUGGUCUGGCAUCGCUGGCAGAGGAUGACAUAUACACAAUUUCUGGUGUGCCCGUCACCUCUGCACAGCGGCCGGAACACCUUCCCGCUGUGGCGGUUAAUUAGCCACGGGAUGUGCCGCAAGGGAGCGCUGCUGCAAGCCAGGGGCGGCUCUCUCAGUGAGGGAACCCGAGCUCUGACCAGCAGAUCACUUAGGCUGGGAUUUUUGCAGUACGCAGAUACCAGGUAGUGGUCUUUAGGUCUACCAUUCUUCUAGACAAAUGUCUUGAAGUUCUCUUUAACCCUUCUGGCAACCUGUACCGCCGCAGGUGAGAAGGUGGUUAUAAGAGGGAUCAUAGAUUGACCAGGGAGAGGCUUCUUCGGGUUAGGUUUGGGGUUGGGGUUAGGAGUUAGGGUUAGAUUUAAAGAGAAAGAGAGACGGGUAGGUUUUAGGUAUAAAGAAAAGAGAGACGGUAGGUUUAGGUAUGAAAAAGAGAGUCGGUUAGGAUUAGGAUAAGGGGUUGGGGAAGGGCGAUAAAAGAGUAGAAAAAGAAAAUAAGAAGGGUGCGCACGGUCCGUCUAUGGCCGAGCGGGCUGGCACUCACCCCUCAUUUAGGCCCCCCGGAUGUCUGGUACCCAGCUUGGUUAUCCAGAGGCGUUCGGCGUGCCGCCGUUGGCCUACGCUCCAUUUGGAGUCUGUGUGCACCACGCACGCCCGGACAGAAGCGCACCCGUGCCGGAUGAAAUGCUGCACGAGGUAGGUGGUGGUGUUCUUCUGCCGGACGAUAUUGUGUUUAUGUUGGUGAAAACGGGUGGCGAUGGAGUUUCCCGUUUCACCAACAUAUAGGUAUCGCUGGCAUUGGAUGACAUAGACACAAUUUUUUGUGUGUAUGUCGCCUCUGCGCAACGGCCGGAAGACUCUGCCGUUCUGGCGGUUGAGCAGCCACGGGAUGUGCCGCAAGGGAGCGCUGCUCCGGGUCGGGGGCGGCUCUCUGAGAGAGGGCAGCCGAGCCCUGAUCAGCAAGUCGCCUAGGCUGGGGUUCUUCCGGUACGCUGACACAAAGUAAUAUUUUUGUAGUCUGCCGCUCUUCUCCACAAACGUCCUAAAAUUCUCUUUCACUCUGCUGGCAAUCUGCACCGCUGCAGGUGAAUAGGUUGUAAUGAGGGGGAUCAUGGACUCGCCAGGGGCAGGUUCCUUUUGGGUCCACGAAGCACCUGUAUUGCUCCCUGAGGAAGGUCCUCGAGUAUCCCCUCCUCCUCAGGGCAGCGAACAUGACUCCCACAGCCCUCACAAAGUCCUCCCGCCUGGUGCAGAUCCGGGGGAACCUCAGGAGUUGGGACUUAACCAACCCCGCAUAGGUGAUGUGUGGAGGCGAAAUCCGGACCUUUGAAGGUGGUGGUGUCCAGGAAAUCUACCGGCGUGGGACUGGUGGUGGACUUAACGGUAAUGCUAGGGUUAUGGGUGUGGAGGAACACCUGGAAUUCCUCCAUGGAGUGAGACCACACCCCCCAGAUAUCAUCCAGGUAUCGGAAGUAGUAUAGGGGCUGGAUUGGGCAGGAAGCCAGGGCAGAGGUCUCCCACUCUGCCAUGAAGAUAUUUGCAUACGCUGGGGCAAAUUUCUUCCCCAUGGCCGUGCCCUUGAUUUGCAAAUAAAACUUGCCGUUAAACUCAAAAUCGUUCCUUUUGAGAUUGAUCUCGAGGAGUUGCAGGAGUUCCUUCUCUGGCCUGCUAACAUCCCGGUAUUUAUAAAAAAUAUUCUUAACGGCUUGGAUGCCCUGGUAUAUGUCUGUUAGUGUACAAACUAUCAAUAUCAAUGGUAAAGAAAAUCGAAUCCUGGGGAAUGACUGUUUUUUAUUUUGUCUAUGAAAUCGUAGGUGUCUUUAAGGUAACUAGGAUGUUUAAUGGAGAGAGGGGUUGAAUAAUAGUCUAUGUAUUCCGCCGUCCUAUAGGUUUCGCUCCCGCAGUCGGACACAAUGGGCCUGCCCGGAGGUAUUAAAUGGGGCUGGCUCCACUUGUGUGGCUCUUUGUGGAUCUUGGGGAGCAGAUAGAAUCUACGAGGACGGGGAUCCGAUUCCCCCAGGAGGUAAGUAUGUUGUUUGUGGUUGAUAAAUCUUUUAUUUAAUAAAUUAACGAUUUUUUCUACCAUCGGGAUAGUGUCCAGGUAGAUGCGUGCGGCCAACGGGGAAUAGUAUGUGGUGUCAUUGAGUUGUUUAUUGCCCUCCCAGAUGUAUUGGGACCUGUCCAAAAUCACAACCGCGCUGCCCUUGUCCGCCGGCUUGAUAACUAUGUUUUUGUUGUUUUGAAGGCUACGGAGCGCCUCAGUCUCGUCCCGCGUGAGGUUGGGUGCGACCGCAAGGGCGACACCCAAUAGGAGCUAUGGGUGCUCAUCAGCCAGGACCAACAUGUGGACCUCCGGAUGUAGCAGGCCCGGUGAUGGCUCCCAUUCGGACCUGGGAGUGAAAGGUCUCGGUCCGAGGGACCCUUGUUUUUCAUAAAACACUGCUAUUUUGACACUCCGAAGGUAUUCCUGCAGGUCCAAUUUGACCUGGUGGUCCCAAUUGGGACUGAGGCCUUUGUCGAGGAGGGAGCGCUGCGAGGAGGUGAGUAUGAAGUGUUUAGAUAAAUUUACAAUGUUGUUGUUUGUGGUAUUGUUGUUGUUUGUGUUUGUUUCCCCCCCCCGACAGGUCGGGUUUUUGGGGAUGCCAAGUUUAAAUGCUGAAGCCAGUGCUUCAGCAUGUUCUUGGCAGUCUCCUCGGUGAAGGUUGUCCCUCCCCGUAGCGAACUCAUCACUUGCGAGUGCCGGGAUGAAGUGGUAAUUUUUCUGAAUGUACGUGUUUAUUUUGUGGAGGUUGUUUUUGUGUUCCUCGGGCAGGGCUUCCGAGAAAUUGAUGAGGGGGAUGGAAAUUUCGGCGUUAGGGAAGACCGUUUUGGCCACCUUGAGGGCCCUUUGGAUCUGCUUGAAAGUGGUGGCCUUAGGGUUUAGUUCCUUAUUAUUGAUGCCGAAAGAUAAAACAACCAUUUCCACCUCAACACUAAUUUUAGUUUUUUCCAGGAUGGCCUCUGCAUGCCGAAAGUUGGCCCCUGGGUAGCUGUCCAUCUGAAGGUCCUGGAGACGGACAGAUGGCAGGCGACUGAUGUUAAUCACCAAUCACCAGGACCUUCUUGUCGACAGACAGGUGCCAAUCCACCAACUUGCGAGUCGUGCUAAUGUGCCUGGUAGGUCCCCUGCGCGGACUCAUUGGUGUGGUUAAAUGUGUUGUGUCGGUGUCCUUUAUCGGCUGAGAGGCCGAAGUGACAGUUCUAGGCCCUUUCCGGAUUCCGGCAAAAAAUUGGGACCCGCUUCCGGAACCGGCGUGCGUGGAGGAGGAGUGUCCACGAGGGGUACGUCCGGAAGAGGCGCGUCCGGGAGGAGCGCGUCCAGGAGAGAGGAUGUCGGCGAGGGUGGUCCCGGUUGGCCAGAACCAAGUUGGGACCAACUAGGCGGCGUGUCAGGGGGCAGUUGGGAUCACCCUGGAGGCCUCUCAGGGGAUGAUGCCGGCUGCUCAGGUAGCGGUGGCGCCUCGGAGACCGCAGGAGGGACCCCGACCUCGGUCUCGACACGCAAAGGCGGCCUGGGUGGCGGGACCAGGGGAGCCUCAACAAUGGAGUAGUUGGGAGGACUGCUACAUGGCUCCUGGGGUCAUGUCGCUCUCUGGGGCCUAGAUGGUGCCGCAGCCAGAGAGGAAGGCGACAAAACCGGGAAGGGGACCGGGGUGACCUGUCCCCUAGGACCCGGAACCCGUUCCACUACAGGGGACCAAUCUCUGACCACAGGGUCGGUCAUGGUGGAUACCGUGGUGCGCGUAGGAGCGUGCAGGGUCGGAACCUGCAGGGGCAGCGAGGGGUGUACCACCUCCAUCACAACCCGGGUGUCGGUCAAGUCCGAGUCGCCCAGUGACCCCGUCUGCUGAGAUCGCGCAGGACUCCCCACCUCGUCUACAACACAAACGUUCACACAGAUCGCGAUCACCAGACCCUCGGCCAGCCACAGUGUCUCGGUGGUCAAUCUGCGUCCCAGGUGUGCCUUGGCCCACGCCGAGGCCACCUGGAAUGGGUCUUUCCAGUUUUGGCCACUAAAAGCACUCAAUUUAUUCACUUCAGUUUGGAGUGCUUUUUUAUAAUGUUCCCUAAGAAUUUGCACUGUUUUUUGUGCCCAAUUAUGUGCAUUAUCUUUAAUUAGGGCUUCUGUGUCCGGGUUGGUGACCGCUGGCCUGAUUCCGGUCGUUAAGGUAAGUUCCAUGUUUGUUAUUGUUUGUGGUUGGAUGUCUCUACUCACAUUGUUUUGGUGGUGUAUAAUUUUAAUAAUAUUGUAAAUAAUUUUAGCUUUAAGGCUAAAAUCAACAUCCUGAUUUUCAGGAGGAAUUUCCAUGGAGGGGCGGUUUGUGUUGACAUUCCUGGUAAUGUUGGAGCGGUUUGUGUUGACAUUCCUGGUAAUGUUGGAGCGGUUUGUGUCGACAUUCCUGGUAAUGUUGGGGCGGUUUGUGUCGACAUUCCUGGUAAUGUUGGGGCGGUUUGUGUUGACAUUCCUGGUAAUGUUGGGGCGGUUUGUGUUGACAUUCCUGGUAAUGUUGGGGCGGUUUGUGUUGACAUUCCUAGUAAUGUUGGGGCGGUUUGUGUUGACAUUCCGGGUAAUGUUGGGACGGUUUGUGUUGACAAUCCGGGUAAUGUUGGGGCGAUGACCCUGUCUAAAUCCAGGUUUGUCAGCCCUAUACGUCCUCCUGGGAUUGGGAGGCUCAUGGUAGGCGGGUUGGAAAUUUACCCUGUUUUUUGGGGGGCUGAUGUUGUGCAGGAUGCUGAAAAUAUUGAGGUUUAGAGCCUCUGAAAAAAAUGUUUUUAUUAUUUUGAUUUUGGUGUGUACUGCGGGGAUUUCGCCACCGUGGGGCACCGUAAGGUCUGACACGCCGGCCGCUAUCACUCCUGUCACGUGAGACGUUGCCCUGGCGACGUGCGUCACGUGUGGGAUAGUCACGGCGACGUGCGUCACGUGUGGGGUAGUCAUGGCGAUGUGCGUCACGUCUCUCAUGCGUUUGGUUGUCAUGGCGACGUGUGUCGCGGCGGAGGUGCACCCGCUCGUCCUCCUCCUCAGCAGGAUAGCCACGCAGCACCUCCGCGUAGCUCCUGCGGGGAGGUUGUUGAAAACGGUCCGCAAAAUGGGUAUUUUGGUCAUCAUAGCGGCCGUUUUGUGGUGGAGGACGAGGGGGCGGGGUCAUCUCGCGCCGCGAUUGUUGUUUACGUCCGCGAGGACGCACAAGGACCCAUUCCUCGUCUUCCCACGCCGCCAUUUUGCGACAACCGGCAGUGUAAUUGAAUAUAAAAUAAGGAUUUUGUGUAAAAAUAAAGUAGGAAUGCAGGUAAGUGGGUAGAAAGAAAAAAUAAAUUGAUAGGAAAGAAAUAAAAUGGAAAGACACCGGCGCGCUUCGGUCACGGGUGACGUCACAUCCGCCCAAACCGGAUGUCUCGAAAAAAAACCCACAGAAGAAGAAGACAGGCUUCUUCGAAGAAAAAAAGAAUAUAAAGAAAAUAAACAACUAAGGGCGGUUCUGUGAAGAACGAUAAAAGACUCCAAGGUGGUUGGAGUACAAGGACAUCCGGGGCACUCCCUGCGCCGGAAACGUCCGUGUCACCAGGUCAGUGACCAUGUGAUAAAGGUAAGUAUUGUGGUAUUGUUUUGGUGUUUUUUCAGGUCACUGGAGUACGAGGACAUCCAGGGCAUUCUCCGCACCGGAAAUGUCCGUGUCCCCGGGAACAACUCGUAGACCAGGAGUCCCCAACCGCCGGCUCUUUGAUGUCUCUGAUGCGGCUCAGCUUGUCACGGCCAGCUCAGCUCGUCAAACCUCAGGACACGCCCACGGCCGCCAGGACGGUGACAUGUGGGUGUCCAGCUGGUAGGACAUGUGGGUGUCCAAGUUAAAGCACCUGACAGCACGCCUUGAAGAUGUUUCACGCCAGAAGGCCGUUCUUGCUCAGAAUCACAAAUAGUGUGAUAUUGAAAACCUCCCCAAGCCAGACUAACUUGUGUUCAAAACUUGGAACGCUAUCCCUCAAUUUUUUGUGAACAUGAAAAAGUAUGCACUUGGAGUUCUGUCCUUCUUUGGAUCCACAUAUGCAUGUGAGCAGGUGUUCUCCAACAUGAACUUUAUUAAAAACAAACAUAUGCAUGUCAGCAGGUGUUCUCCAACAUGAACUUUAUUAAAAACAAACAUAUGCAUGUGAGCAGGUGUUCUCCAACAUGAACUUUAUUAAAAACAAACAUAUGCAUGUGAGCAGGUGUUCUCCAACAUGAACUUUAUUAAAAACAAACAUAUGCAUGUGAGCAGGUGUUCUCCAACAUGAACUUUAUUAAAAACAAACAUAUGCAUGUGAGCAGGUGUUCUCCAACAUGAACUUUAUUAAAAACAAACAUAUGCAUGUCAGCAGGUGUUCUCCAACAUGAACUUUAUUAAAAACAAACAUAUGCAUGUGAGCAGGUGUUCUCCAACAUGAACUUUAUUAAAAACAAACAUAUGCAUGUGACCAGGUGUUCUCCAACAUGAACUUUAUUAAAAACAAACAUAUGCAUGUCAGCAGGUGUUCUCCAACAUGAACUUUAUUAAAAACAAACAUAUGCAUGUGAGCAGGUGUUCUCCAACAUGAACUUUAUUAAAAACAAACAUAUGCAUGUGAGCAGGUGUUCUCCAACAUGAACUUUAUUAAAAACAAACA